rnacentral:rRNA from 1 species
CACGUAGGCGGACUUUUAAGUCGGGGGUGAAAUCCCGGGGCUCAACCUCGGAACUGCCUUUGAUACUGGAAGUCUGGAGUCCGAGAGAGGUGAGUGGAACUCCGAGUGUAGAGGUGAAAUUCGUAGAUAUUCGGAAGAACACCAGUGGCGAAGGCGGCUCACUGGCUCGGUACUGACGCUGAGGUGCGAAAGCGUGGGGAGCAAAACA